UAGGGAAUCUUCGGCAAUGGACGAAAGUCUGACCGAGCAACGCCGCGUGAGUGAAGAAGGUUUUCGGAUCGUAAAACUCUGUUGUUAGAGAAGAACAAGGACGUUAGUAACUGAACGUCCCCUGACGGUAUCUAACCAGAAAGCCACGGCUAACUACGUGCCAGCAGCCGCGGUAAUACGUAGGUGGCAAGCGUUGUCCGGAUUUAUUGGGCGUAAAGCGAGCGCAGGCGGUUUCUUAAGUCUGAUGUGAAAGCCCCCGGCUCAACCGGGGAGGGUCGUGGGAAACUGGGAGACUUGAGUGCAGAAGAGGAGAGUGGAAUUCCGUGUGUAGCGGUGAAGUGCGUAGAUAUAUGGAGCAACACCAGGGGCGAAGGCGGCUCUCUGGUCUGUAGCUGACGCUGAGGCGCGAGAGCGUGGGGAGCAAACAGG
rnacentral:rRNA from 1 species